rnacentral:rRNA from 1 species
UGGGGAAUAUUGCACAAUGGAGGGAACUCUGAUGCAGCGACGCCGCGUGAGUGAUGAAGGAAUUCGUCUCGUAAAACUUUGUUCUAUGGGAAGAAAAGGACUGUACCAUAGGAGAAAGCUCCGGCUAAAUACGUGCCAGCAGCCGCGGUAAUACGUAUGGAGCGAGCGUUGUCCGGAAUUAGUGGGCGUAAAGGGUGCGCAGGCGGCGUUACAAGUUGGAUGUGAAAUAUUGUGGCUCAACCACAAACGUGCAUCCAAAACUGCAGAGCUUGAGUUGAGGAGAGGUAAGGGGAAUUCCUGGUGUAGCGGUGGAAUGCGUAGAUAUCAGGAGGAAUACCGGUGGCGAAGGCGACUUACUGGACUUAAACUGACGCUCAGGCACGAAAACGUGGGGAGCAAACAGG